rnacentral:rRNA from 1 species
CAGCAGCCGCGGUAAAACGUAGGGUGCAAGCGUUAAUCGGAAUUACUGGGCGUAAAGCGUGCGCAGGCGGUUUGUUAAGACAGAUGUGAAAUCCCCGGGCUCAACCUGGGAACUGCAUUUGUGACUGGCAAGCUAGAGUGUGGCAGAGGGGGGUGGAAUUCCGCGUGUAGCAGUGAAAUGCGUAGAUAUGCGGAGGAACACCGAUGGCGAAGGCAGCCCCCUGGGCCAACACUGACGCUCAUGCACGAAAGCGUGGGGAGUAAACAGGAUUAGAUACCCCAGUAGUCCCUGUCUCUUAUAC